CUAAUAAGGGCUAACGGUGGAUACCU
rnacentral:rRNA from 1 species